CCUUCCCCCACACCGUUUCGUUUCCGCUUUUCGUCUCUGUGGUUUCAUUUUCUUUCAAUCAUAUCCCUUUUGGGCGCCGUUUGUUCAUCUUCAAGGUAUGGAGCUCUUUGGGCCUUGAUCUCACUUUGGCAAUCAAGGUAAUUAAAAUUGUAAACAAAUCUGUUACUUUCUCCUCACUUUGUCUCACUUUCUCACCGAUUAAAAUUUUCAAAUCCACCUCAGUUCAAUAGGUAGGGUUUUCUACCAUUUUCUACCGAUUCGUCUUCGCUCAUCUUCGUCUAGAGGUUUGUAUCAUUUAAAAAGCUUCGUAACUUUGAUUUCUUCAUUUCAUUGACUAAUUCAUCUUUUCCACCAUUUAAAUUAUUCUCUUCCACCAAUCCUUCGAACCUAGGGUUCGUAGUUCGUUUCCCCUUCUUUCGCGGCUUCCUCUAUUCGCCCACUCGAUUUUCACCAGAUUCAUGGUUUCUCACCAAUCUGCCAUGACCUGGGGUCAUCAGAGCCUAGGUUAGGCGCGUUCAUUUGAGCUAAGUGUUUUUCUUAACUUUUCUGUUGUAAAUUUGACUUUCAGAAUUUUGUUGCAUUGAGCUAAGUUUGUAUUCAUGGAGCUAAUUCGAUCUUUGUUCUUCUCCCUUUUUAAUUUUAAAGGAUUAUAGGAACAUAAAUCUUUAAUCAGAAUGUAGCAUGGAUCUUGCUCUGAACUACUUUGUUUUAUUUUAUUUUUGCAAUAUCCUAAGGCAAUUGCGGCAGGAGACAACCUCUAUGCGUGGAAGUCAAAUGUUGAUGCAGGUGUCCUCUGAUCAGGCACAGCUGUUUGCAAUGCUUGUGCAGAUUCUUGGAGAAGAACGAUGUAUUGAAGUUGGCGUUUAUACAAAUUGAUUCAUCUCUUUGGUGGAAGUAAACCAUUGGGAAGUGCUCCUGCUGGAGUUGAAGGUCAGCCAAAUAAAGUAAAUAACCGCAAAAAUUUGAGAACUGGAAGUGCUGCAUUAUCUAGACGACCAAUAGUGGCAAUAAAUUCUUCUCCACCAUCUCCUGCAGCCCUACGAGCUUCUAUGUCAUUACAAUUGCAGUUGCUCCUGAGAUUUCUUCCUACUCUUUGCACUGACAGUAACUGGAAAAUUGUGGCCAAAGUUGUAUGAAAUGAAGGUUAGUCCUAUAACGACACCCAUUGAUGAAGGAACCAUUGAGGAACUUUGUUUGCCAGAUAUCCACCACAAGGAGCUCAAACUCAAUAGACAAUAUUUGCUAAGCCAAAUUAAAAGGAAGACCUUAAGUUGCUUGAGGACUUUAAAAUUGGCUUUGGAAUAAAUGUAAGAUACAAGAUAUUUUGACAUUAAAUAAAAUUGUAUGUUAAAUGUUUUUU